rnacentral:rRNA from 1 species
UAAAGCCUUAAAAAUAUUCCGAUAAAUAAUAUCAACAGAUAAAAAUUCAAAGAAAUUGGCGGUGUCUUAUACUCUCAGGGGAACCUGUUUCUUAAUUCGAUAAUCCACGAAACUUAUACCUUUAAAUGAAAAUUCAGCCUGUGUACUGCUGUCGCCAGUAGACCUUUAAAAGAAAGUCUACAAAAAUAAUAGAUUUACAGACGUCAAGUCAAAGUGCAGCCUAUAUAAAGGAGAUAAAUGGGUUACAAUCUAAAUUAAAGACUACGAAGAUAAAUAUUAAAAAUUUAUUGAAGGCGGACUUGAUAGUAAUAAUACAAAUACUACUAUUAUUAACUGAUAAUUAAGACAUGCACACAUCGCCCGUCACUCUCACUAAAAAUG